AGUGAACGCUGGCGGCAGGCCUAACACAUGCAAGUCGAACGGCAGCACAAGAGUGCUUGCUCUCUGGGUGGCGAGUGGCGGACGGGUGAGGUAUGCAUCGGAAUCUGCCCAUUUGUGGGGGAUAACCUCGGGAAACCGGGACUAAUACCGCAUACGACCUACGGGUGAAAGCUGGGGAUCUUCGGACCUUGCGCAGAUGGAUGAGCCGAUGCCGGUUUAGCUAGUUGGAGGGGUAAAGGCCCACCAAGGCGACGAUCCGUAGCUGGUCUGAGAGGAUGAUCAGCCACACUGGGACUGAGACACGGCCCAGACUCCUACGGGAGGCAGCAGUGGGGAAUAUUGGACAAUGGGCGCAAGCCUGAUCCAGCCAUGCCGCGUGUGUGAAGAAGGCCUUCGGGUUGUAAAGCACUUUUGUUGGGGAAGAAAAGCAGCCGGUUAAUACCCGGUUGUCAUGACGGUACCCAAAGAAUAGGCACCGGCUAACUUCGUG
rnacentral:rRNA from 1 species